rnacentral:rRNA from 1 species
UACGUAGGGUGCAAGCGUUGUCCGGAAUUAUUGGGCGUAAAGGGCGCGUAGGCGGUGCUGUAAGUCUGUAGUGAAAUCUCUGGGCUCAACUCAGAGUCUGCUAUAGAAACUGUAGUGCUAGAGUGUGGGAGAGGUGAGUGGAAUUCCCGGUGUAGCGGUGAAAUGCGUAGAGAUCAGCAGGAACACCCGUGGCGAAGGCGGCCACCUGGGCCUAACCUGACGCUGAGGCGCGAAAGCCAGGGGAGCGAACGGA